GUUAUUCUCUACUCAUUCUUUCCACAGAGCCUCUCCGCGAAGGGCUGCCUCCCGGGGCUCCGGGACAUGGGGCGACCUAGAACUCCCUGGCUGUCUCCGUAGUCUCACCCAGGACGUCGGUGGAGCAGCGCGACCCCGUCCGAGUCCUCCGGGCUCUGCUCUCCCUUUGUCUGCUCUGUUCUCUCAAGGAGUGUCCACGGUACAAGCCGCCGCCCCGUGACCGUGAUCACCGUCGCGCUGCGCAGGGAGGCCGAAGCCCCAGGUCGGCUGCGCCGCCUGGAAGUACCUACGGGAUGAAGCAGCCGCGACCCGAGCUGUCUUCCGAAGGGCCCGCUGCGGCACCGCGCCUGUCCUCGGAGCCCGGCCCCGCCGGCCGCGAUUCUGUUCCAGCAACGCCGGGAGCUGGAGCCCUGCGCGGGGAUCCAAAGCAGAUCCGGCCCCUCUCCUGUUUUCUGUCCUUUCUGUCCCGGGCGCAGCUCCCACCCCAGGGCUUUGCCAUUUACCAGCACCGUGGAAACUGGGCUCUUCCCGUGGCUCAGGGCUGCCUUUCCUGACCCUUUGUGCCCCACUCGGCUCUUCCUCAAGGAGGAUGGUGUGUCUCCGGGGCCUGGUCGGCCCCCCAGGCUCCAGCCCCGACCCAGUCCCCAGGGCACAGCAGCAGAGCUGAAUAAAGGCGGUGCCGUGCUGAUUGCUGCA